GGAGAGAUGUCCGAGCGGCUGAAGGAGCACGACUGGAAAUCGUGUAGGCGGCCAAAACUGCCUCGGGGGUUCAAAUCCCCCUCUCUCCGCCA
rnacentral:tRNA from 2 species